AGGCCUCUGAGAAAGAGCUUACUUGUAGCAUUGUCACAUAACAUGGUGUGCUUUGGACUUUGCUGAACCUCAGUCCCCACUUCGUGAGGCAGAUGUAGACUGCUUGACUUUAGGACAAUAUAUGCAGCCAACAAGGCGUCACCUUAAGGUUGAAGAAUAUAUUACUCCCGAAAAAUUCAAAUACUGGGAAAAAGUAGGAAAUGAACUUGGAUUUCAUUAUACUGCAAGUGGCCCUUUGGUGCGUUCUUCAUAUAAGGCAGGUGAAUUUUUCCUGAAAAAUCUAGUGGCUAAAAGAAAAACAAAAGCCCUCUAAAACUUCAACAAGACCUUCAAGACCACAGAAAUUUUUAAAAUUUGAUUCCAGUUAAUAACAGAGGUGGUGCCAGAAUGCCUGGACUGCAGUGGAUGUACCCUACCUCUUUGCUUAAAAAAAAAAAAAAGUCAAUACCCAGGCAUAGUGGCUCAUGCCUGUAAUCCCAGCACUUUAGGAGGCCAAGGCGGGUGGAUCACCUGAGGUCAGGAGUUCGAGACCCUCCUGGCCAACAUGGUGAAACCCUGUCUCCACUAAAAACACAAAAAUUACGCAGGUGUGGUAGUGGGCGCCUGUAAUCCCAGCUACUCGGGAGGCUAAGGCAGGAGAAUCGCUUGAACCUGGGAGGGGGAGGUUGCAGUGAGCCAAGAUCGCUCCAUUGCCCUCCAGCCUGGGUGACAAGAGCAAAACUCCAUCUCAAAUAAAUAAAUAAAAAGGAAAAAAAGUCAAUAAACUGUACAAAUUUAAUUACAGUAAUUCAUUUGGUUUUUAGUGUAUCUUCUUUGUCCCAAUUAAACAGUUGCUUGCUGUGAUGUAAUCUUAAAAUAUCUUUGUAAGAAUUUUCUUUUAACAUAAUUUUAAAAUGCAUUAAAAACAUGGCAUGGUGGCUCACACCUAUAAUCCCAACAUUUUUGGAGACCAAGGCGGGCAGAUCACUUGAAGCCAGGAGUUCGAGACCAGCCUGGGCAACAUGGUGAGAACCUAUCUCUACAAAAAAUUAGCCAGACGUGGUGGCAUGCACCCAUAGUCCCAGCUACUCAGGCUGAGGUGAGAGGAUCACUUGAACCUGGAAAGCAGAGGUUGCAAUGAGCUGAGGUGGUGCCACUGCUCUCCAGCCUGGGCACUACAACUGCUCUCCAGACUCUGUCUCAAAAACCCAAAAACUUCCAGAAGAUUUUCCAAUCCACUGUUAACAUCAUCAUUACAUUUCAUUUAUGAAAAAUAAAAACUUCAUUUAUGUUACUGUGAUGAAACAGUCAACAUAGAUUGAAACUCAUCAGUUUAGCAUUUCAUUCAACUUUAGCAUUCAUUCAAUGUAGAUUGAAACUCAUCAGAUUAGCAUUUGUCCUUAUAAUAUUGGAAUAAUUUAGAAAGGCUUAAGAGUGAAUGUUGGCCAGAUGUGGUGGCUCAUGCCUGUAAUUCCAGCACUCUGAGAGGCCAAGGUGGGCAGAUCACCUGAGAUCGGGAGUUUGAGACCAGCCUGGCCAACCUGGUGAAACUCCAUUGCUAGUAAAAAUAAAAAAAUUAGCUAGGUGUGUUGGCAGGUGCCUGUAAUCCCAGCUACUCGGGAGGCUGAGGCACGAGAAUUACUUGAGCCUGUGAAGCGGAGAUUGCAGUGAGGCGAUAAUUGUGCCACUGCACUCCAGCCUGGGUGACAGAGUGAGACUGUCUCAAGAAAAAAAAAAAAGAAUAAAUGUUAAUUUUUUACAUUGGUGUGACUACUUCAGAACCUGCAAAAUAGUUUUAUGCUGAUCACAUUUGGUCCCUCUGAAAAAACCAAGGCCAUAAUGCUGCCUAAGACAAGGAAAUAGAACCUAGAAAUAUUAACCCUUAUUUGUAUAGUAGCUUGCUAAAUCCACAUGUCCUAUUCCUUUCAUUUCUCACAUUGGUUGUAUUAUAUGAUGGUAAAGACCUGAGAAAGGAAUUUCCUUCCAAAAUACUAAUAACUCAGAUUCAUCUUUUGACUGAAUCCUGCCUUUCUACUUUUUCUGCAUAUCUAAAAGGACACUUUUACGUGGCCAUGUUGUAAAAUAUGUAAAGUGGAUAGCCAAUUCUGUUUUGAAUUCUUAUAAUGAGCCAGUAUUAUAAAAGUAAUGCACGUCCUUGCCAGGUGUGGUGGCUCACGCCUGUAAUCCCAGCACCUUGGGAGGCUGAGGCGGGUGAAUCAGUUGAGCUCAGGAGUUUGAGACUAGCCUGGGCAACACAGUGAGACCCCCAUCUCUACCAAAAAUACAAAAAAUUAGCUGGGCGUGGUGGCGCAUGCCUGUAAUCUCAGCUACUUGGGAGGCUGAGGCAGGAGAAUCACUUGAACCUGACAGGCAGAGGUUGCAGUGAGCCAAGAUCACAUCACUGUAUUCCAGCCUGGGUGACGGAGACUGUGUCUCAAAAAAAUUUUUUUAAAGUAAUGCAUGGGCCAGGCAUGGUGGCUUAACACCUGUAAUCCCAACAUUUUGGGAGGCCAAGGCAGGUGGAUCACCUG
rnacentral:sRNA from 1 species